rnacentral:rRNA from 1 species
CCUACGGGAGGCAGCAGUGAGGAAUAUUGGUCAAUGGACGAGAGUCUGAACCAGCCAAGUAGCGUGAAGGAUGACUGCCCUAUGGGUUGUAAACUUCUUUUAUAAAGGAAUAAAACGAGGCACGUGUGCCUUUUUGCAUGUACUUUAUGAAUAAGGAUCGGCUAACUCCGUGCCAGCAGCCGCGGUAAUACGGAGGAUCCGAGCGUUAUCCGGAUUUAUUGGGUUUAAAGGGAGCGUAGAUGGGUUGUUAAGUCAGUUGUGAAAGUUUGCGGCUCAACCGUAAAAUUGCAAUUGAUACUGGAGGUUUUGAGAAAAGUGGGGUUAGGGGGAAUUGGGGGUG